rnacentral:rRNA from 1 species
CACGUAGGGGGCAAGCGUUGUCCGGAAUCAUUGGGCGUAAAGCGCGUGUAGGCGGUCCGGCAAGUCCGCUGUGAAAGUCGGGGGCUUAACCCUCGGAUGCCGGUGGAUACUGUCGGGCUUGAGUACGGAAGAGGCGAGUGGAAUUCCUGGUGUAGCGGUGAAAUGCGCAGAUAUCAGGAGGAACACCAAUUGCGAAGGCAGCUCGCUGGGACGUUACUGACGCUGAGACGCGAAAGCGUGGGGAGCAAACAGG